rnacentral:rRNA from 1 species
GUCGAGAAUCUUUCACAAUGGGGGCAACCCUGAUGGAGCGACGCCGCGUGGAGGAUAAGGUCUUCGGAUUGUAAACUCCUGUCAUGCGUGAACAAGGUUGCUUGGUUAAUACCUGGGCAAAUUGAUGGUAACGCAAGAGGAAGAGACGGCUAACUCUGUGCCAGCAGCCGCGGUAAUACAGAGGUCUCAAGCGUUGUUCGGAAUCACUGGGCGUAAAGGGUGCGUAGGUGGCGUGGUAAGUCGAAUGUGAAAGCCCGGGGCUCAACCUCGGAACUGCAUCCGAUACUGCCAUGCUAGAGUACUGGAGAGGUGACUAGAAUUCUCGGUGUAGCAGUGAAAUGCGUAGAUAUCGAGAGGAAUACCAAAGGCGUAGGCAGGUCACUGGACAGUUACUGACACUGAGGCACGAAGGCCAGGGGAGCGAACGGGAUUAGAUACCCCGGUAGUCC